UCUGGAUUAUCACUCUCAGAUUGAAAGCAAAACACUAAGUUUUUCUGGGCUUGAGGUGCCACUUGUAUGUGUGUCUCUCAGUCGAUGAUGAGGAUAUCAGAACCGAUUCUGGACAUGGACGUGGGAAAUUACAGUGAAGUUUUGGACCCAAAUUAUACCACUUUGGAAUUUGAAACGAUGCAGAUUUUAUAUAAUUCAAAUGAUAGUUCUGCCCCAGAGACAACAACUAUGAAUACCACAGACAACGGUGUCGGUGUCAACUGUCUGUGUGCGAUAUGUGGGGACAGAGCAACAGGAAAACACUAUGGGGCAUCGAGCUGUGACGGGUGCAAGGGCUUCUUUCGACGCAGCAUACGCAAGAGUCAUGUUUAUUCCUGCAGGUUCAGUCGCCAAUGUGUUGUUGACAAGGACAAAAGGAAUCAAUGUAGAUACUGUCGAUUAAGAAAGUGUUUUCGAGCAGGAAUGAAAAAAGAAGCUGUGCAAAAUGAACGCGAUAGAAUAAGCACCAGAAGAAGCACAUUCGAUGGCAGCAAUAUCCCCUCCAUAAACACACUGUCACAAGCUGAAAUUCGGUCUCGCCAGAUCUCAGCCUCAAGCCCUGGGGUCAGCACUGACAUAAAUGUUAAGAAAAUUGCAAGUAUUGGUGAUGUCUGCGAAUCUAUGAAACAGCAGCUUUUAGUCUUGGUGGAAUGGGCUAAAUAUAUUCCCGCCUUCUGUGAGUUACCACUGGAUGACCAGGUGGCCCUGUUGAGAGCUCACGCAGGGGAGCACUUACUGCUUGGAGCUACGAAAAGAUCCAUGAUGUAUAAAGAUAUUUUGCUUUUGGGCAACAACUACGUCAUUCACCGAAACAGCUGUGAAGUCGAGAUCAGCCGUGUGGCCAAUCGGGUCCUCGAUGAGCUUGUCCGACCAUUUCAGGAAAUCCAGAUUGAUGACAAUGAGUAUGCUUGCUUGAAGGCAAUUGUAUUUUUUGACCCAGAUGCAAAAGGACUAAGUGACCCAGUAAAAAUUAAGAACAUGCGGUUCCAAGUGCAGAUCAGUCUAGAGGACUACAUCAACGACAGGCAGUAUGACUCCCGGGGCAGGUUUGGGGAGCUGCUCUUGCUCCUGCCCACGCUGCAGAGCAUCACGUGGCAAAUGAUCGAGCAAAUACAGUUUGUGAAGCUUUUUGGAAUGGUUAAAAUUGACAACCUGCUUCAGGAAAUGCUACUGGGUGGUGCUUCCAAUGAUGGAAACCAUCUUCAUCAUCCAAUGCACCCACAUUUGUCUCAAGAUCCAUUAACUGGACAAACUAUACUUUUAGGUCCCAUGUCAACAUUGGUUCAUACGGACCAGAUCUCAACUCCUGAAACCCCACUACCUUCACCACCACAAGGCUCUGGACAAGAACAGUACAAAAUAGCUUCAAAUCAAGCUUCAGUCAUUUCACACCAGCCCCUCUCCAAACAAAAGCAAUUGUGAUAAUGUGUUUACUUCUGAAUAGCACUGCACAAAUGUGAAAGGCUUUUGGUCUUGAAAUAUCUCAGGAUAUAACUUUUGGCAAACUCUUAGCCAAGGCUUCUUCAUGGUGCUGUUAUAAAAUGGUGUCCUGUUUUCUUGUUUAUAUGCUCAUUUUGUUUGUCUUUGCUAUGGUGUAAAACUUUCAUAUGCAACCAAUGUACAUUUGAGUUGGAAUUUGUUUAUAUAGUCUCCAACUGCCCCUGCACUGUGCCUGAACUGGUUAAAUCUUAUGUACUACUUUCAUUUGUUUUCAUAAUAUUAAUUUAAAUCUGUAAAUAAUUGCUUUGCUGUGAUGUGAUGCAGAACUAAGUGUUCUUUUUGGCUAAGAACAGAUCAGAAAUCCAAGGUUAAUAUGAAAUGAACCAGGGUUUUUUUUUUAUAAAUUAUAAACUUGCAGAUUAGAAAAAUAAAGCAGUAACUAUAGAGUAGAGGACAUUUCUUUGAAGAAGAAUCACUACUUAUGGGCAUUCUGUGGCCAACAAGCAUGUCUUUGGUUCACGGUUCUGAAGUUCAGAAUAUUAUAAAAAGCCAUUCUAAGAAUAACUGUAUACUCUUUGAAAUCUAUGUUUGAAGAUGUAGUCUAAGAUAUCAGUUAGAAUAUAAGCUAAACUGUAACAAAGAUGCCCCUAAAACAAUGUUUAAACCAAGAGAGACAUUUAUUUCUCUCUCCUCAAACAAUCUAGCAAUAGUCAUCCAUUGACUAGAAAUUAUCACAAACCUGCACCCAGGGAGGCCAGGGGAAUCAUCUUUGUGAAGGAAGCCUGUUCCAGCUAAUGCUGGAUAUCUCUGGGAGAACUGAACUGGAAGAUAAAUUCUCAUGUUGCAGGGCAGCAAUUUCUUCUGUGGCAGUAGCAUCCAGAAAGAAGACCUCCAGGCGAUCUCAGGCUUGCAGCAGCGGAAUCAGAGGCAGCAGUAAUGACAGCAGUGGCUGAUUGACAGGAGACCUCAGGUUCAGCAGCAGCGACCACAGAGGUACCCAGGGAAUUCACAUAUGACGUAACCGAGGCCGUGCCCAGAGAAGAGAAGUCACUCCCAGCUCGCAGUGACUUCUGUGGCAGCCCAGAAAGAAGACCUCUAGGCGAUCUCAGGCUGGUAGCAGUGGAAUCAGAGACAAAAAUCUCUUACUUAUUUGUAAUUUCAACUUUUGUUCUCUUUUUUAGAAUAUAAAUUUUAUAAAAGUGUAUCUUGUAACAGUAUUAUAUUUUUAUUUGGCAAGAGAAGCAUUAAAAUAAGAAAUGUUUUUAUUUAACUUUCCUCCUUCAGUAUGUCAGACAUUUUCACGUUCAUUUAAUCUGAAAUAUCAUUCACACUCUUCAUUCUCCUGCCUGUAUUAGACAUCACAGGUAGCUUAAUAAAUGCUAGUUUGAUAUUGUCUAUUUAUUUUACUUUUUAAAAAAACUUAUGGAAUAACAAAGAUUUAGUACAGUGAUAAUGUAGAAAAAAAUUAAAACCUAUUUUCCCUAAUGUAAUAACAGUAAAAGAUAGAAAUGAAUUAAGUUGAUUAUAAGUCAUUUUUAUUUAUAAAUCAUCAUUAUGCUUGCACUAUAUAAGAAUUCAACUUAAAUACAAAGAUUUAGUGAACAGUUAGGUGGCAGAUAAAUAGGAUCAGAAGUGCCUUUCAAAACCCGUAGUGGUGUUUAUUUAGAAAAACACUGACCUUUGUCUAGAGUUGAACUGUUUUGUCUAAAGAAUGAAGUUUUGUGUUGUACUGAUGGUGGUAAUGCUGAGAAUCAAACCCAGGGCCACAACCAUUAAAGAAAAGACAUUUGUGACAUCACAAAAUACACAACUGGAUAUUUCAGUAGCAUAAAAUAUUAUGUUAUUGUAUCCCCAUAGAAUUGCCUCUAUAUUUGUCUGCAGAUUCUUCCAAUAAAUCAUAGUAGUUCUAGAAUAAAAAAUGAAAAUAAGAGGAAUUUUAAUAUAAGCAUCAUUAAUACUUCACAAAUAUUUAUUUUGUACAUGCUAUGGUCAAGAAAUGCAUUAAGUAGGAUGUGCUCAGAAGCACAAAGACAAAUGACAUAUCUUUGUUCUGUAGUUGUUUGAAAUCUAGUGAGAAUGAUUGACACUUUAUUAAUAUUCAUAUUAGAGAAUACAGAAAAUGUUAGGACACAGGGUACCUUAGAAUUUAAGAAUUCAGUCUUAGCCUAGAUUUAAAUGUGGAUUCCAGUUUGCAACACCUGAAAAGGUCUUCAGAAGUUCUUCCAGAGUAUAAACUUCAGAGCAAAGUAGAACAAAACAAACAAACAAAGGACUAUUUACAGUACUACCAUCAGUUAUGCUGUUAUUAGGGUGAAUGGAUAAAGUUUGUAAAAUGUGCUUUUCAUGGAAUCUGUUGGUCAGUAAGCAUUAAAGAAAAGAAAUUGUCAUUAUUAUUAAAGAGAUAAGCAAUGACACCUGAGAGCAAGAUCAAUUAUUUUUGAGUAUGCAUACUGAGAUGUUUAAUAGAGGAUAUACUAUUUGAGUUAUGCUUAUAAAUAGCAUUUGGAUAUUGACAAUAUUGGAAAGAAUUGGGAAAUAUAUUUUUGAUUGAGGGAAAUAAUAACCAAAGACAUGGAGAAUGUGAUAUUUGAGGAAAAUUGUGAAUAGACGACUGCAAUCAAUUCAAAGGGAAAAUAUUUUCAAAAAUAAGAUAUCAAUAAGAGGCCAGCUGCAGAACCAUGAGAAUGAAGCUGUAAUAGUUACAGAGAUUAAUCACAGAUGAAACCAUGAUUUCAAGUUUAAGAAAGAAUCCAGGAGGAUACUAAAAUUACUUUUCAAUUUUAAAAAUCUACCAAUAGAAAAGACACAUACAAUGUAGGAAUAAUAUCUUAAAAUUUAUUUUAAUAUUGCAUGAGAAGUAUUUAUCUUCAUGGCUAUAUUUGAUUGAAAUAAGUUAUCAAAAUCAUGAUCAAAUUCAAAUUUUCGAUAGUUGUCUUGUUUGUUUUUACUUGUUGUAUUCUUUCCAUUUGUUUCUCAGAACAUAUUUGGCAGGAAUUUCUCUUUCAAAUAUCAUUUUGAAAAAUGCUAUUUAUGGUAAAUCAUCUUACUAAUGCACUGAGGUAAAUUUUAAGAGCUUGGACUAACAAAUCCAUUUUUUACCAUUUAAAUAAAUUAUUGAAUUAUA